GAACGCUGGCGGCGUGCCUAAUACAUGCAAGUCGAACGAACUCUGGUAUUGAUUGGUGCUUGCAUCAUGAUUUACAUUUGAGUGAGUGGCGAACUGGUGAGUAACACGUGGGAAACCUGCCCAGAAGCGGGGGAUAACACCUGGAAACAGAUGCUAAUACCGCAUAACAACUUGGACCGCAUGGUCCGAGUUUGAAAGAUGGCUUCGGCUAUCACUUUUGGAUGGUCCCGCGGCGUAUUAGCUAGAUGGUGGGGUAACGGCUCACCAUGGCAAUGAUACGUAGCCGACCUGAGAGGGUAAUCGGCCACAUUGGGACUGAGACACGGCCCAAACUCCUACGGGAGGCAGCAGUAGGGAAUCUUCCACAAUGGACGAAAGUCUGAUGGAGCAACGCCGCGUGAGUGAAGAAGGGUUUCGGCUCGUAAAACUCUGUUGUUAAAGAAGAACAUAUCUGAGAGUAACUGUUCAGGUAUUGACGGUAUUUAACCAGAAAGCCACGGCUAACUACGUGCCAGCAGCCGCGGUAAUACGUAGGUGGCAAGCGUUGUCCGGAUUUAUUGGGCGUAAAGCGAGCGCAGGCGGUUUUUUAAGUCUGAUGUGAAAGCCUUCGGCUCAACCGAAGAAGUGCAUCGGAAACUGGGAAACUUGAGUGCAGAAGAGGACAGUGGAACUCCAUGUGUAGCGGUGAAAUGCGUAGAUAUAUGGAAGAACACCAGUGGCGAAGGCGGCUGUCUGGUCUGUAACUGACGCUGAGGCUCGAAAGUAUGGGUAGCAAACAGGAUUAGAUACCCUGGUAGUCCAUACCGUAAACGAUGAAUGCUAAGUGUUGGAGGGUUUCCGCCCUUCAGUGCUGCAGCUAACGCAUUAAGCAUUCCGCCUGGGGAGUACGGCCGCAAGGCUGAAACUCAAAGGAAUUGACGGGGGCCCGCACAAGCGGUGGAGCAUGUGGUUUAAUUCGAAGCUACGCGAAGAACCUUACCAGGUCUUGACAUACUAUGCAAAUCUAAGAGAUUAGACGUUCCCUUCGGGGACAUGGAUACAGGUGGUGCAUGGUUGUCGUCAGCUCGUGUCGUGAGAUGUUGGGUUAAGUCCCGCAACGAGCGCAACCCUUAUUAUCAGUUGCCAGCAUUAAGUUGGGCACUCUGGUGAGACUGCCGGUGACAAACCGGAGGAAGGUGGGGAUGACGUCAAAUCAUCAUGCCCCUUAUGACCUGGGCUACACACGUGCUACAAUGGAUGGUACAACGAGUUGCGAACUCGCGAGAGUAAGCUAAUCUCUUAAAGCCAUUCUCAGUUCGGAUUGUAGGCUGCAACUCGCCUACAUGAAGUCGGAAUCGCUAGUAAUCGCGGAUCAGCAUGCCGCGGUGAAUACGUUCCCGGGCCUUGUACACACCGCCCGUCACACCAUGAGAGUUUGUAACACCCAAAGUCGGUGGGGUAACCUUUUAGGAACCAGCCGCCUAAGGUGGGACAGAUGAUUAGGGUGAAGUC
rnacentral:rRNA from 2 species